CCGCGCCGGGGGGGCGGGCGGAGGCCGAGGCGGAGCUGGGCCGGGAUGGCGGCGCCAGGGCGGGACCCGGGCCGGCUGGGUCGGCUGGUAGUGGCCACUGUGGUUCUGCUUACCUGGGGCUUCGUUCUCUAUGGGGCACGAGUGAUUGCCCAGCGGCAGCUGGAGAGCGGCCUCUUUGCUCCCAGGCUGCCCUAGGCCACCUCCAGGAGCUCAGCGUUGUCUUGAAGGGCACGGAGGGAUCUGUCUGAAGGCUGGAGGAGCCCUGUGGUUGCUUGGGCAAAUAAAGCAUAUAUAGCUCUUAGGAAAGAGAAGCUAGGAAGAGCAGAAGUCUUGUGACUCCUCUCCCACACCCUGCACAUAUCAGCAGCACAUUCAACCCACAGACCUCUUGAAGCUGAGGAAAAGUCUUCCUCUGGGGAGCCUGACCCUGCUUCCUGGGCUGUCAUGUCUUCCAGGGUCCUGUGGUCAGCAGCAGGAGUUCUUCCCACCAGGAACUCUGAGGCACCGUGCCAAAGACAAUGUCAAGGGUCUAAGAAACAUCCUCAGCUCCACAUCCUGGUGUCUGCCUGAAGCCCUGUCAGGAUGGUGGUGGCAGCAAGAGGCAACUUUUUUCUCCCAGGCUUGUGGACAACAUUGUGUGAAACUUGCAGCUGAAUGCUUUUGUCCAUUAUUAUCCAUCCACCGACUAAAAGAAGAAGGUCCAUGACUUCAACAACCUCUGCUUGGAAAUGCUGAGCUCUCCUCCCCACAGAGAAAAGUUUUGGAGUAUUUUACCUUGACAGAACAAAACUAAGCAAUGUUAACAUUUCAGCCCUUGUUUCCAUCUCUGUGCUGAUGGCACCUACUAGAACCUAUUCAAAAGGUAGUCAGUUAAACUAUUAUGUUUUGCUUCAGACAUGCAGCAUCCAGCCACAGGCUACAGAUUUUAUUGACUGCAACCAGGAGGGUUUUGCCUCAGAAAAGAACUCGGGGAUUUGGUCUAGUGUUAAAGGAGUCAGUUUCAUAAUAGACCCCUCCUCAAAAAAUUGUAGUUCAACUGGGCCUUGAUCCAAAGCACAGUGCAGGUAAUGACUUCAAGGAAGUCCAUCAGCACUCUUGUGUUGGGGGCAUUGAGUAACUGUAACACUGAGAGCCAAAUUUUUGUGGGAGUGUAAAGACAGCAUACAUCCCAUAGCGUCUACAGCCUUACAUAGAAGCGCUGCCAAAAGAAGUGAAGGGAAAUCCCAUCAUACUUGUUUCCCUGAGCAGUAGCUGAGGAGAGAGUUGGCUGUGCUCACAAGCAAGCUGGGAGCUAUCAGCUGACAGCAGUCUUCCCAAGGGUUCCAUGCCAGAGCAUCUUUCCAGGCCAGAGAGGGUUUCAAAGAGCCUUUUAAAAUAAACAGCUAACAUAUACUUUUGACUAAAGCCUUCUAAAGCUUUACUGCAACUGCAACAGCUGAUGGGAUUGGUGGGCUACAAAUGGAUGGCAGUGGAGGACUGUAGAGAUUAACAGGAAAAAAACCUGUAGUGUCACAGUGGACUUCCCCAGACUGAAAGGCAAGGAGUCUGAUGUUUAAAAAACUGAGGCAAUAGUAUUUGAUGGCUACCACUGCAAUAAACUGGAAAAACAGAGAAAUA